GAUGAAGAACGCAGCGAAAUGCGAUACGUAAUGUGAAUUGCAAAUUCAGUGAAUCAUCGAGUCUUUGAACGCACAUUGCGCCCCCUGGUAUUCCGGGGGGCAUGCCUGUCCGAGCGUCAUUGCUGCCCUCAAGCACGGCUUGUGUGUUGGGCCCCGUCCUCCGAUCCCGGGGGACGGGCCCGAAAGGCAGCGGCGGCACCGCGUCCGGUCCUCGAGCGUAUGGGGCUUUGUCACCCGCUCUGUAGGCCCGGCCGGCGCUUGCCGAUCAACCCAAAUUUUUUAUCCAGGUUGACCUCGGAUCAGGUAGGGAUACCCGCUGAACUUAAGCAUAUCAAUAAAGGA
rnacentral:misc_RNA from 1 species